UGAAAUCAAUUUUUACUUUAGUUAUACAUGCAAGUCUCCGCAUCCCUGUGAAAACGCCCUUAAACUCCUAAUAGGAACAAGGAGCUGGUAUCAGGCACAAUUAUUAGCCCAAGACACCUAGCCAAGCCACACCCACAAGGGACCUCAGCAGUAAUUAACAUUGAAUAUAAGCGACAGCUUGAUUCAGUAAAAGUAAACAGGGCAGGCAAAUAUGGUGCCAGCCGCCGCGGUUAUACCAUGUGGCCCAAAUUGAUUUCUUUCGGCGUAAAGAGUGAUUAAAGUACCACUAUACUGUAGUUAAACUUCUAUAAAGUUGUAAUAAGCUUAUACUUAGGAAUAUCAUAAACGAAAGUUACUACACCCAAAACAACU
rnacentral:rRNA from 1 species